rnacentral:rRNA from 1 species
CCUACGGGAGGCAGCAGUGAGGAAUUUUCCGCAAUGGGCGAAAGCCUGACGGAGCAAUACCGCGUGAGGGAUGAAGGAUUUUGGUCUGUAAACCUCUUUUCUCAAGAAAGAAGUUCUGACGGUACUUGAGGAAUAAGCAUCGGCUAACUCCGUGCCAGCAGCCGCGGUAAUACGGGGGAUGCAAGCGUUAUCCGGAAUGAUUGGGCGUAAAGCGCCUGUAGGUUGUUUAUUAAGUCCGUUGUUAAAGCCUAGGGCUCAACCCUAGAAAAGCAAUGGAAACUAGUAGACUAGAGUAUGGCAGGGGUAGAGGGAAUUUCUAGUGUAGCGGUGAAAUGCGUAGAUAUUAGAAAGAACACCGGUGGCGAAAGCGCUCUACUGGACCAUUACUGACACUCAGAGGCGAAAGCUAGGGUAGCAAAAGGGAUUAGAUACCCCUGUAGUCCUAGCCGUAAACGAUGGAUACUAGAUGUUGUGCAUUAUGUACAGUAUCGUAGCUAACGCGUUAAGUAUCCCGCCUGGGGAUACGCUCGCAAGGGUGAACUCAAAUGAAUUGACGGCUGGAAGAGUGCGAGACGACGACGAGGGAGGAGG